CGAAGCGUAUAUAUAUUCAUUCAACCUUUCUUCUCUUCAGUUUACAGUGACGACGAUUCUCUCCGACCUUUCUUCUCAUUCUUUUCAAUGGCGACGAUUAUCUCCGAUUGGAAUGUACGCAAAAUCAAUUGGGAGUUCAUCAUGAAGUAAUUUAUUAACUCAUUUGCUUUGUAAGAUUAACUAAAUGAAGGAAACUCCAAACAACAUAUAGAAAGAAGAGGAGCAAAACAUGGACUCACUUUGCUGGUAUAAGGUAACAUCUUCUUUCCUUCAUGAUUAUUUAACAUCAAUGUCAUGCAAGUUUUAUCGUCUCAAGUCAUUUUAUUUUCAAUCUUUUUUCCUAAUAAGGCAUCACAUUUUGAAAAUUGGUCCAUACUCUAAAACUUUUUCGUAUUAAGACAUUAUAAUUUCAAACUGCAUUUUACUUUCAAUAUUUUAUGAAUUAAGGAAUCAUGCUUUGAAAAAUUCAUUUGACUUUCAAUAUUUUAUCUAUUAAGACAUCAUACUUUGCAAAAUGCAUUAAACUUUCAAACUUUUUCACAUUAAGUCAUCAUACUUGGAAAAUUGCAUUUUUCUAUCAAUUUUUUCAUAUUAAGUCAUCAUACAUUGAAAAUUGCAUUUUUUUUUUAUCAAU